AUAGUUGUGGCUGAGUGGUUAAGGCAAUGGACUAGAAAUCCAUUGGGGUCUCCCCACGCAGGUUCAAAUCUUGCCAACUAUG